GAUGAACGCUGGCGGCGUGCCUAAUACAUGCAAGUCGAGCGAACAGAUGAGGAGCUUGCUCCUCUGACGUUAGCGGCGGACGGGUGAGUAACACGUGGAUAACCUACCUAUAAGACUGGGAUAACUUCGGGAAACCGGAGCUAAUACCGGGUAAUAUAUUGAACCGCAUGGUUCAAUAGUGAAAGACGGUUUUGCUGUCACUUAUAGAUGGAUCCGCGCCGCAUUAGCUAGUUGGUAAGGUAGCGGCUUACCAAGGCAACGAUGCGUAGCCGACCUGAGAGGGUGAUCGGCCACACUGGAACUGAGACACGGUCCAGACUCCUACGGGAGGCAGCAGUAGGGAAUCUUCCGCAAUGGGCGAAAGCCUGACGGAGCAACGCCGCGUGAGUGAUGAAGGUCUUCGGAUCGUAAAACUCUGUUAUUAGGGAAGAACAAAUGUGUAAGUAACUAUGCACGUCUUGACGGUACCUAAUCAGAAAGCCACGGCUAACUACGUG
rnacentral:rRNA from 1 species